rnacentral:rRNA from 1 species
GAUAUGGCUCAGGAUGAACGCUGGCGGCGUGCUUAACACAUGCAAGUCGAGCGAAGCACUUAAGUUUGAUUCUUCGGAUGAAGACUUUUGUGACUGAGCGGCGGACGGGUGAGUAACGCGUGGGUAACCUGCCUCAUACAGGGGGAUAACAGUUAGAAAUGGCUGCUAAUACCGCAUAAGACCACAGUACUGCAUGGUACAGUGGUAAAAACUCCGGUGGUAUGAGAUGGACCCGCGU